rnacentral:lncRNA from 1 species
UGAAUAUAUGAAUUAAAGCAUUGGCACAGUGAAUGGCAGCUGAAAAAUUUUGACCCUUGUUUCUGGAAGUGAAAUGUUAGAUGGUUUGAUGAAGUGCCACAGAGAUUAUCGCUUAAAGAAUGCGUGCAGGCCAACCACCAACACAAGAUAUUAAAAGAGCAAUGAAAAUGAAGAUUUAACUAUAAAGAAAAAUCUGACUAAUAUUAUUACUCAUAACACUUAAUUGUUUCAUAUUAUUGUAAAUUUAUGCGAGUUUUCCUGUAUUCUGUUUAUUUUGCAACUUAUGUUAUUGUAAAUUCAUGUAUGUUUUCAUUCUUGCUCUGUCAUGCAUUUCAUACAAUAAUCGUUUGUUGUGCAUAUUAAUUAUAUGUGUAUAUUACAUCAUUGAAUUACUGUAUUUGAAUUUUAAUAAA